rnacentral:misc_RNA from 1 species
UAUUGGCAUGCCAAUCUAUCCAAACCUAUAAUUCACUGUCUAGGUUUACCCAGGCUUGAUAGGGUAAUUAUCAUUUUUAUUUUCACAUGAUAUAAUUAAUAAUACUUGUAUGCAAAUAAACUUUUACCAUUACCAUAUUUUCAUAUCGUAUACAUUUAAAUUUCAUAAAAAAAUUCUUAUAAAUUUUUCUCAAGUUAUCAAAGGCCAUACCA